rnacentral:rRNA from 1 species
CAGUCGAACGAAGCACUUUAAUCGAUUUCUUCGGAUUGAAAUUUUAGUGACUGAUUGGCGGACGGGUGAGUAACGCGUGGGUAACCUGCCUCACACAGGGGGAUAACAGUUGGAAACGGCUGCUAAUACCGCAUAAGCGCACAGUACCGCAUGGUACGGUGUGAAAAACUCCGGUGGUGUGAGAUGGACCCGCGUCUGAUUAGCUAGUUGGCAGGGCAACGGCCUACCAAGGCGACGAUCAGUAGCCGACCUGAGAGGGUGACCGGCCACAUUGGGACUGAGACACGGCCCAAACUCCUACGGGAGGCAGCAGUGGGGAAUAUUGCACAAUGGGGGAAACCCUGAUGCAGCGACGCCGCGUGAGCGAAGAAGUAUUUCGGUAUGUAAAGCUCUAUCAGCAGGGAAGAAGAAAUGACGGUACCUGACUAAGAAGCACCAGCUAAAUACGUGCCAGCAGCCGCGGUAAUACGUAUGGUGCAAGCGUUAUCCGGAUCUACUGGGUGUAAAGGGAGCGCAGGCGGAAGGCUAAGUCUGAUGUGAAAGCCCGGGGCUCAACCCCGGUACUGCAUUGGAAACUGGUCAUCUAGAGUGU